AUUGAACGCUGGCGGCAGGCUUAACACAUGCAAGUCGAGCGGAGAGAGGUAGCUUGCUACUGAUCUUAGCGGCGGACGGGUGAGUAAUGCUUAGGAAUCUGCCUAUUAGUGGGGGACAACAUUUCGAAAGGAAUGCUAAUACCGCAUACGUCCUACGGGAGAAAGCAGGGGAUCUUCGGACCUUGCGCUAAUAGAUGAGCCUAAGUCGGAUUAGCUAGUUGGUGGGGUAAAGGCCUACCAAGGCGACGAUCUGUAGCGGAUCUGAGAGGAUGAUCCGCCACACUGGGACUGAGACACGGCCAAGAGUCCUACGGGAGGCAGCAGUGGGGAAUAUUGGACAAUGGGCGCAAGUCUGAUCUAGCCAUGCCACGUGUGUGAAGAAGGCCUUAUGGUUGUAAAGCACUUUAAGCGAGGAGGAGGCUACUUUAGUUAAUACCUAGAGAUAGUGGACGUUACUCGCAGAAUAAGCACCGGCUAACUCUGUGCCAGCCGCCGCAGUAAGAC
rnacentral:rRNA from 1 species